rnacentral:rRNA from 1 species
UACGAAGGGGGCGAGCGUUGUUCGGAAUUACUGGGCGUAAAGGGCGCGCAGGCGGCCCUUGAAGUCAGGCGUGAAAGCCCCGGGCUCAACCUGGGAGGUGCGCUUGAUACUCGAGGCUUGAGUGCGGGAGAGGAGAGUGGAAUUCCCAGUGUAGAGGUGAAAUUCGUAGAUAUUGGGAAGAACACCGGUGGCGAAGGCGGCU